GACGAAGGAUGCAAGCGUUAUCCGGAUUCAUUGGGUUUAAAGGGAGCGUAGGUGGCCUUAUAAGUCAGUGGUGAAAUCUCUGGGCUUAACCCAGAAAUUGCCAUUGAUACUGUAGGGCUUGAGUAUAGUUGCCGUUGGCGGAAUAUGACAUGUAGUGGUGAAAUACAUAGAGAUGUCAUAGAACACCGAUUGCGAAGGCAGCUGACGAAACUAUAACUGACACUGAGGCUCGAAAGUGCGGG
rnacentral:rRNA from 1 species